rnacentral:rRNA from 1 species
UAGCUAGUUGGUAGGGUAAAGGCCUACCAAGGCGACGAUCGGUAGCUGGUCUGAGAGGAUGGUCAGCCACACUGGGACUGAGACACGGCCCAGACUCCUACGGGAGGCAGCAGUGGGGAAUAUUGGACAAUGGGGGAAACCCUGAUCCAGCGAUGCCGCGUGUGUGAAGAAGGCCUGCGGGUUGUAAAGCACUUUCGGUGGGGAGGAGAGUAUCCAUGUUAAGAGCUAGGAUAUGAGACGUUACCCACAUAAGAAGCACCGGCUAACUCCGUGCCAGCAGCCGCGGUAAUACGGGGGGUGCGAGCGUUAAUCGGAAUUACUGGGCGUAAAGGGUGCGUAGGCGGUUUGAUAAGUUAAGUGUGAAAGUUCUGGGCUUAACCUGGGGUAGUCAUUUAAGACUGUCAGACUAGAGUAUAGGAGAGGGUAGUGGAAUUUCCGGUGUAGCGGUGAAACGCGUAGAGAUCGGAAGGAACAUCGGUGGCGAAGGCGGCUACCUGGCCUAAUACUGACGCUGAGGCACGAAAGCAUGGGAAGCAAACAGGAUUAGAUACCCUGGUAGUCCAUGCCGUAAACGAUGUCAACUAGCUGUUGGAUGCUGAUAAGUAUUUAGUAGCGA